rnacentral:rRNA from 1 species
AUUGAACGCUGGCGGCAUGCCUUACACAUGCAAGUCGAACGGCAGCAUGGAGGAGCUUGCUCCUCUGAUGGCGAGUGGCGAACGGGUGAGUAAAGCAUCGGAACGUGCCGUGUAGUGGGGGAUAACGUAGCGAAAGUUACGCUAAUACCGCAUACGCACCGAGGUGGAAAGCAGGGGAUCGCAAGACCUUGCGCUAUACGAGCGGCCGAUGUCAGAUUAGCUAGUUGGUAGGGUAAAGGCCUACCAAGGCGACGAUCUGUAGCGGGUCUGAGAGGAUGAUCCGCCACACUGGGACUGAGACACGGCCCAGACUCCUACGGGAGGCAGCAGUGGGGAAUUUUCCGGCAAUGGGCGAAAGCCUGACGGAGCAAUACCGCGUGAGGGAUGAAAGCCUGUGGGUUGUAAACCUCUUUUCUCAAGGAAGAAGUUCUGACGGUACUUGAGGAAUAAGCAUCGGCUAACUCUGUGCCAGCAGCCG